AUGCAGUAACGGCUUUUGAAGAGCAAAGAUGGCAAUAUAACUAAAGAAUAUCGGCUCAACAGUAAUAAUGAAGCGAAGAGAGAAAAAGAACCGAAUAAAUCCCAUGGCUUAUCAUCAAUGUGUUCGCAAUUUCCCUCUUUUAUGUCACUGCAGACGGACUUCAGUUUGCAUAACAAGUACCCAGUAGUUGUUAUACGGACUAGUGAUUGUUGUUGUUGUGAAAGCAAUAGAAAUCUCAAGACCCCCUCCAUCAGUCAGGGUCACGACACGGUCACGGGUUUUGUUGGGCUCCAAGUCACGUGUUCCACUGUCACGCCAGACACGUGGGCUUGUUGCUAGUUUAUAACACCUUUACACGUAUGCUCUUGUCGUAGCACCUUUAUUAUUUCAACGUCACAAAUUACAGAAAUUACAGAAAUUAUAGUAAGGCCCAUUUACACGAGCAAUUUUUAGUUGAAAACUUUUACUUGACAAUUUUUAGUUGCUCGUGUAAAUGGUGCAAAGUGAGCACUAGCAGGUCAGCUUUUUCCCAGCAAUAAAAAAUCGACAAUUCGAUAAAAUUGCUCGUGAAGAUGCGCCUCAAUGAAAAGUUGUCAACUUUUUGAGUCCAGACCUGGGACUCUCGCGAGCCUGGUACCCAGGGUAGGACGUUGUCUGUCUGUACAAAGAUUUGGGCUACCUUUGGCAGUCCGCGAUACAAAGCCAUACAAAACGGCCAUGAUUUUUCGCACGUGCCCUGUUACGUGUUUACGAUAAUGUUGAAAGCUCCUUCUUCGAUUUAUACCGCGAAUACGAUGGCGAAAUCAAAGAUAUAUUUGCAAUGUCCAGUCCAGAAGUACUAUGAUUGCAAAUCAUUGCCCAAGAAAUAAAACAAAAUUGAUUGCUACAUUAUUUUAAACCAAGGCAAACACAUGCACAGAGGAUACACAGAUAUUCCUUAGAAAUCAGUGGGCUCCAGGGAAUACUGCAGUGUACUUACAUGCAGAAGCUAUUGUUAAAGGAGAAGCAGGAGAUCAUAAAUUCUGUAUAGUUCACGAUAUGUUAUCACAUGAGCAGUAAUCAUUUCAGUAGCUAUUUUCAUGGCAACCACUUAGACCCAAAUAGCUUACUGGGUAUAUACAGGCAUGCAGCUCAGGGUGGGCACACUGGUUUUUGCCCCUCCCACUCAACCACAAAAAGCAGUCUUUUUUAAAAAGAUACUUAUUUUCUUUAAUAUUUAUAACUGCACAUCCCCUCCACAGCUAAUCAGAUUGUUAAUUAUGGUUAUCAGACUUCACCUUUCCUUUUCUAGACAUACAAUUAAAUAAUUUCUUUUGUCUAAUAAAAUAAGACUACACGCAA